AUUGAACGCUGGCGGCAGGCCUAACACAUGCAAGUCGAGCGGAUGAAGGGAGCUUGCUCCUGGAUUCAGCGGCGGACGGGUGAGUAAUGCCUAGGAAUCUGCCUGGUAGUGGGGGAUAACGUCCGGAAACGGGCGCUAAUACCGCAUACGUCCUGAGGGAGAAAGUGGGGGAUCUUCGGACCUCACGCUAUCAGAUGAGCCUAGGUCGGAUUAGCUAGUUGGUGGGGUAAAGGCCUACCAAGGCGACGAUCCGUAACUGGUCUGAGAGGAUGAUCAGUCACACUGGAACUGAGACACGGUCCAGGCUCCUACGGGAGGCAGCAGUGGGGAAUAUUGGACAAUGGGCGAAGGCCUGAUCCAGCCAUGCCGCGUGUGUGAAGAAGGUCUUCGGAUUGUAAAGCACUUUAAGUUGGGAGGAAGGGCAGUAAGUUAAUACCUUGCUGUUUUGACGUUACCAACAGAAUAAGCACCGGCUAACUUCGUG
rnacentral:rRNA from 1 species